rnacentral:rRNA from 1 species
UAACUUGAAUACAAUAUAUAACCCUUCUAAUUAAGCCCAUAAUAAAGAACAUAUAUAACUAUAACUAAGUACAGUAAUGGAAUUGAAUACUAUUAAAAAGUAAAUAUAAUGUACCUUUUGCAUAAUGGAUAAACAAGAUUAAAUUAGACUAUCUUACUCCGAAUAUCUAAUGAGCUGUAUAAUUAUUGUUUAGCACUCAUAGCCUUAUGUUUCAAUAUAAACUAAAAAUAAUUAUACAGAGGCUACAUACCAUGCGUAUAGAUAAAUAUCUGAUUUCUAUUAAAUUUAUAUAUUAAAGAAACUAUAAUAGAGGUUUAAAUUAUAGAUUAUAAGGUCUAUAAAAUUUCUAAUUCUACCCGUAUUAAAAUAAGUAGGCCUAAAAUCAGCCAUCCUUCAAUACUUCAUCGUAGUAUGAACUAAAAAUAAAUAAAUAAUAAUAGCUUCAUUCAAUAGAAAAAUUAAUAAACUAAUUCUAGUAAUUAUACUGUUUAUAUUAGUACUUUAUUAACUUAAACUAAGGAACUCGGCAAUUAUAAUAUUCGACUGUUUAACAAAAACAUUUCCUAUAGUAAGCUUAUUACAGGUAUUUCCCUGCCCUAUGAAAUCUUAAAUGGCUGCAGUAUACUAACUGUACAAAGGUAGCAUAAUAAUUAGCCUAUUAAUAGUAGGAUAGAAUGAAAGGGGGUACGAAAUAUUAACUGUCUCAGUUUUUAAUAAUAAAUUUAUUCUUAAAGUGAAGAAACUUUAAUAUAAAUAAAAGACAAGAAGACCCUAUAGAGCUUUAUAAAUAAUAUAAGAAUAUUAUAUUAAAUAUUCGAUUGGGGCGAUUUAGGUAAUAAUUAAACAACCUAUAUAAUCAAAGAUUAAUAAUUCAUUUUUAGAUCUAUCUUAACCAAAAAAUUAAGCUACCUUAGGGAUAACAGGCUAAAAUUUCUAAAGAGUUCCUAUCGACAGAAAUACUUGGCACCUCGAUGUUGGCUUAAGAUACCUAAAUGACGCAGUAGUUGUUUAAGGUGGUAGGUUUGACCAUUAAAUUCUUACAUGAGCUGAGUUCAGACCGGCGUAAGCCAGGUUAGAUUCUAUCUUUAUUUAUAUUUAUUAUUUGCCUCUAGUACGAGAGGACCUAGGUGAAAUCUAUAAUAGAUCUAUAAAAAUAAUCAAUAAAAUUCAUAUAA